rnacentral:tRNA from 1 species
CACUAGGAAGCUUGCAAAGCACUUAGCCUUUUAAGCUAAAGAAGAGAAGGUUUCUCCCAAGU